CCCAGGUAAUUAAAGUUUAGAGCCCAGCCCUGUUCAAUUGAGGGAGCAUUACCUGGCUCUGAUGGGACAUGGGGUUUCCCACUCUGGUCUCUGAUCUGCCCUGGCUUUUGGGGGGACCCCAAGUGUGAGGGCUGGCUGGUCACAGCCUCCCCGCUUCUGCCCCCAGAUCACCGCAGUGUGCAACUUCUUCACUUACAUCCGCUACAUCCAGCAAGGCCUGGUGCGUCAGGAAGCGGAGCCGAUGUUUUGGGAGAUCACGAGGCUGCGGAAGGAGAUGUCGCUGGCCAAGCUCGGCUUCUUCCCCCAGGAGGCCUAGGGCAUGGCCCAGGCCUAGAGGGGGGCUCUCAGCAGCAGCUGACCCCUGCCCCAGCACAGACAGACAGGAAGACAGAGUCCUGGAUCCGGCCCUGAGCCAGAAGCUGAGCAGAUGGACAGAUGGCCAGGCUGCGGACGCCUUGCUGAGCUGGUACCAAACCUUUGUCCCGGGACAGACAGGACCUCGUGAGCCGACGCGUCUCCCUUCCUCAGUGGCACACAGCCACCAGGAGACUUCCAAGGAAGCACCAAAGACCGAGGAGCUUGGACCCACACUAAGGGGCUCAGCCCUUAGGAGGGGGUACCCGGGGCAGCACCCCCUUUGCGGGCCUGGGACCUGCUGCUUGCAGGUGCCUUGUUGCUGCCAUGUCCUCAGAAAGGGGCCACGCUGGGUGGCCUGAUCUCCAGGGUAUCCCCGCACCUCUGGUCCCAAGCCCUGGGCCACCAGCGCCCCCUGGUGGCCAUCCCUCACCCAUUCCCAGGUGGCCUCCCUGUCGGACUGCCCCCCGCGGGCCCCCUGUGUCCAGUGUCCGCGGGGCGGUGGGGCCACAAGGGGCUGUCAGGGACUUCCACACCAACCUGGAUCUGCUUGAGAACUGCCCCCAAACUGUUCUUAAGGUGGAUCAGGGCCCCUCCGCCUUGCACUUGACCUUCCCCCUCCCCCGUCUGAGCCCUGUGCUCAGGGAGGCCUUGCCCCCACCACCGUUGGAAGGAUUAGGAUACUUUUCUCCCGAAGUAAAACACAGACAGGGCCUCAGGACACCAGUGUCUGUGUUCAGCUGUGGGUGGCCAUUCAGACAAUGGGGGCUGAGGCCGCCAAGCCCUGCACACAGGACUGGGGUAGGGUGGGCAGGACCCAGGCCUCUCCUCACCCCUCACAGCCCACUUGGGACUGGGGUCCAACCUGGACACAUCCCUCACCACAGCUGAUUUCCUCCUUUGGAUGGAAUGUAACACGAUCUCUAUUUAAUAAAGGAAGGCUUUGUUGGUAGAG